rnacentral:rRNA from 1 species
GGACGAACGCUGGCGGCGUGCUUAACCCAUGCAAGUCGAACGCUGAAGCUCAGCUUUUGUUGGGUGGAUGAGUGGCGAACGGGUGAGUAACACGUGAGUAACCUGCCUCCUUCUUUGGGAUAACGCCCGGAAACGGGUGCUAAUACUGGAUAUUCACUGGUCUUCGCAUGGGGGUUGGUGGAAAGGGUUUUUCUGGUGGGGGAUGGGCUCGCGGCCUAUCAGCUUGUUGGUGGGGUGAUGGCCUACCAAGGCUUUGACGGGUAGCCGGCCUGAGAGGGUGACCGGUCACAUUGGGACUGAGAUACGGCCCAGACUCCUACGGGAGGCAGCAGUGGGGAAUAUUGCACAAUGGGCGCAAGCCUGAUGCAGCGACGCCGCGUGAGGGAUGGAGGCCUUCGGGUUGUGAACCUCUUUCGCUCAUGGUCAAGCCGCAACAAUGGUUGUGGUGAGGGUAGUGGGUAAAGAAGCGCCGGCUAACUACGUG